UGUCAGUCACAGCAGUUACCAAAAUAAAAUUGCUAACUUUGAUAUUUAGUUUUUUAUUUUAGUAAAGGAUCUUAUCUUGCAGAACCAGGUGGCACUCUUCUGAAAAUGUGGCAAAACCACAGCAAUGUUUUACUUGGCACUGCUCACCACGUUUUUAAAAGAGGAAUGAAAAAUACCCACUGUGAGCGUCUAUUUCCACUGAGGGAGAAUCAUAUCUGGAAGUUACCCAGAAUUAGGGAAUGAUGACUCGGCUGAGUGAAUACACUACCAGGAAUGAAUUGCUGCCAGAAAAACUUUUAAAAACUGUCCUUUCCAAAACUGUCACACUUUGUUAUGUCAACAUUAAACAUGAAUAGAAGCAUUUUAAUAAAGAAUUGCUAAGCUUUACAGAAUGUUGUUACAGAA
rnacentral:lncRNA from 1 species